ACGCUAGCUACAGGCUUAACACAUGCAAGUCGAGGGGAAACGGCAUUAAGUGCUUGCAUUUUUUGGACGUCGACCGGCGCACGGGUGAGUAACGCGUAUCCAACCUUCCCAUGACUAAGGGAUAACCUGCCGAAAGGCAGACUAAUACCUUAUGGUCUUCACUGACGGCAUCAGAUGUGAAGUAAAGAUUUAUCGGUUAUGGAUGGGGAUGCGUCUGAUUAGCUUGUUGGCGGGGUAACGGCCCACCAAGGCAACGAUCAGUAGGGGUUCUGAGAGGAAGGUCCCCCACAUUGGAACUGAGACACGGUCCAAACUCCUACGGGAGGCAGCAGUGAGGAAUAUUGGUCAAUGGGCGAGAGCCUGAACCAGCCAAGUAGCGUGCAGGAUGACGGCCCUAUGGGUUGUAAACUGCUUUUGUACGGGGAUAAAGUCAGUCACGUGUGAUUGUUUGCAGGUACCAUACGAAUAAGGACCGGCUAAUUCCGUGCCAGCAGCCGCGGUAAUACGGAAGGUCCGGGCGUUAUCCGGAUUUAUUGGGUUUAAAGGGAGCGUAGGCUGGAGAUUAAGUGUGUUGUGAAAUGUAGACGCUCAACGUCUGACUUGCAGCGCAUACUGGUUUCCUUGAGUACGCACAACGUUGGCGGAAUUCGUCGUGUAGCGGUGAAAUGCUUAGAUAUGACGAAGAACUCCGAUUGCGAAGGCAGCUGACGGGAGCGCAACUGACGCUGAAGCUCGAAGGUGCGGGUAUCGAACAGGAUUAGAUACCCUGGUAGUCCGCACAGUAAACGAUGGAUGCCCGCUGUUGGUACCUGGUAUCAGCGGCUAAGCGAAAGCAUUAAGCAUCCCACCUGGGGAGUACGCCGGCAACGGUGAAACUCAAAGGAAUUGACGGGGGCCCGCACAAGCGGAGGAACAUGUGG
rnacentral:rRNA from 1 species